GUACUACUCCCUUCGUUCGGAAUUAUUUGUCUCGGAACUGGAUGUAUCUGAAACUAAAAUACAUUUAAAUACAUCCAUCUCUGAGACAAGUAAUUCCAAACGGAGGGAGUACUAC
rfam:Triticum aestivum genome assembly, contig: Triticum_aestivum_CS42_TGACv1_scaffold_404396_5BL